rnacentral:piRNA from 1 species
UGCAAGGUGUCUUAAUGAGAUUUGAAGG